UGUCCAGGAAGUAAUUCAGGAUAAUUAUAUUCUCAGCUCAAAAUACAAGAAAUGCUCUCCUCCUUCUAGGUUCUUCACCAUAGUUUGGUGCCACCUGAUUUUGGGCAGGCUUGCUCCCCAGGACAAGCUGUAUCAGUCUUCUGCUAUGAGCUCACUAAGAAACAGUAGCAUAAUUUGAUUGUAAGAAAAGGUAUCUACAAUACUCUAAUGCACUGAAUUUUGGGCUAGAAUUAAAGAACAGAAUAACUUGUAGAUUUCAACUUACCCCUUUCUGAAAAAAGAAUAUGCAGCUUUUCAUUAUGGUUAUAAGUUCAUUGCUGCAGACAGCACAGCAGGUCCUUUGUUUAUGCUCAUGACUGGCUUUACUGAGUUCUCCUUCCUCUGCCUUAUAAGAGAGAAUAAUCCUAGACAGAGUAAUGGUAAGAAUAAGAACUGCUUGGAGUCCUGUGUGAUCCUGUUGGUUCUAGCACCCUUAGGGCUGGGAGUAGCACAAGGAGUGAAGGUGAGCCACAGUGAUGUCAUUAAGGAACGAGUGAGUGUAUGGCAGAGCAGGGAGGUGAAUGAGGUUAAAAAGAGCUGGUUCUGCGUGCCCAGCACCAGAGCUGGUCUGCUGAGGAAUCUGGGGACUAAGCACAAAUGCCUUUGCUACUGUGAUCUGCUUUAAGAGUAGUGAACUAAUUUCAAUCCACCACUGAAGGCAGAUUUUGAGAUAGCCAUUUGUAUUAUAAGUUUCACAGAAGCUGAGAAGAAACAAAAGUUACAGCUGGAAGUAUAAUGGGAAGUCCUGGGAGAGUGUGUUAGCCAAGAGCUGCAAGAUGUUCCCAGGAUGGCAGGAGCAGCCAUGCCAAGGGUUUGCUUAAAUGACUAGUGAGGGGCAGAAAUCUGCCUCUGGUGAAGAAACAUCAGCACAGCUGGAAAGUUACUUAUGUGGGAUCUGCCUUGGCCCAUCAAAGCAAACAAAUCUGGCUGCUGGACAAAGAAAGAGCAAGUUCUGCAGAACCUCAUCCCACCUUCCAAUACAGAAAGCAACAGCUGUGCUGCUCCAUUCCAGAAACAAGCUAAAGCAAAACAGCAUGAACUGUCUCUGGUUUAAAAAGAAGAGUUCCCUCAGUCAGCAGCAAGAAAUCCAGCUUACCUGAAGC